AUGAGAUUUCUUUCUACGGAUAUGAAGGAUAGAAAUAUGCUAUUUGUUGCUAUUACAAUGAAUCAACCAAUUCGUAGUAAGUGUUCCCGUCUUCCCGAUCUACAUGAUUUAUUCCCAACCAAUAUCUCUCAGAACUUUGAUAUAACGCCAAACUUGGAUAUAACGCCAAUGCCUGAGCGAAUUGCCGGCGUCACAAUAGUUUUCCAAAUAGAAAGGUAUUUGGGCCAAAAUGAGUCCGAACAGGGAGCAGUCAAUUUAGCUAGAACAGUAUUGGGAGCCCGCCACCGAAAUGGCGAAACUUGGCAGGGCAUAUUAGAGGAAAUUUGGGCGGGUGGUGGUAUGGAUAAUUUUAUCCAGAAUUUUCCUGGUGCCUACCAUAAUACCCCAUUGGAUCAAUUUGCCAUUUACCCAAUAAUUGAUCUUCAUGUGGGCAACUUUUAUUUGACAUUUACAAAUGCAUUCUUGUAUAUGCUGCUCACUGUCGUUUUGGUCGUUUUUCUAUUUUUUGUUGUUACGAAAAAGGGAGGUGGAAAGUCAGUGCCAAAUGCAUGGCAAUCCUUGGUCGAGCUUAUUUAUGAUUUCGUGCUGAACCUGGUAAACGAACAAAUAUGUUGUCUUUCCUGA
rnacentral:rRNA from 1 species